rnacentral:rRNA from 1 species
GUAUUCAGCCAUGCUAGUUGUACGGGUUUAGACCCGUAGCAAAUAGCUCCGUAACACGUGGUCAAACUACCCUCUGGACCGGGAUAUCCUCGGGAAACUGAGGUCAAUCCCAGAUACUGCUUUCAUGUUGGAAUACAGAAAGUCGGAAACGGUCCGCCGCCGGAGGACGUGACUGCGGCCGAUUAGGUAGACGGUGGGGUAACGGCCCACCGUGCCGAUAAUCGGUACGGGUUGUGAGAGCAAGAACCCGGAGACGGUAUCUGAGACAAGAUACCGGGCCCUACGGGGCGCAGCAGGCGCGAAACCUUUACACUGCACGCCAGUGCGAUAAGGGGACCCCGAGGGCGAGGGCAUACAGGCCUCGCUUUUCGCGACCGUAAGAAGGUCUCAGAAUAAGAGCUGGGCAAGACCGGUGCCAGCCCGCCGCGGUAAUACCGGCAGCUCGAGUGAUAGCCACUAUUAUUGGGCCUAAAGCGUCCGUAGCCGGCCGAACAGGUCCGUCGGGAAAUCCACCCGCUCAACGGGUGGACGUCCGGCGGAAACCAGUCGGCUUGGGCCCGGGAGACCAGAGAGGUACGUCCGGGGUAGGAGUGAAAUCCUGUAAUCCUGGACGGACCGCCGGUAGCGAAAGCGUCUCUGGAGAACGGACCCGACGGUGAGGGACGAAAGCUUGGGUCUCGAACCGGAUUAGAUACCCGGGUAGUCCAAGCUGUAAACGAUGCUCGCUAGGUGUGGCGUUGGCUACGAGCCAGCGCUGUGCCGUAGGGAAGCCGAGAAGCGAGCCGCCUGGGAAGUACGUCCGCAAGGAUGAAACUUAAAGGAAUUGGCGGGGGAGCACGG